rnacentral:rRNA from 1 species
GACGAACGCUGGCGGCGUGCCUAAUACAUGCAAGUAGAACGCACAGUUUAUACCGUAGCUUGCUACACCAUAAACUGUGAGUUGCGAACGGGUGAGUAACGCGUAGGUAACCUGCCUGGUAGCGGGGGAUAACUAUUGGAAACGAUAGCUAAUACCGCAUAAUAUUAAUUAUUGCAUGAUAAUUGAUUGAAAGAUGCAAUUGCAUCACUACCAGAUGGACCUGCGUUGUAUUAGCUAGUAGGUGAGGUAACGGCUCACCUAGGCGACGAUACAUAGCCGACCUGAGAGGGUGAUCGGCCACACUGGGACUGAGACACGGCCCAGACUCCUACGGGAGGCAGCAGGAGGGAAUCUUCGGCAAUGGACGAAAGUCUGACCGAGCAACGCCGCGUGAGUGAAGAAGGGUUUCGGAUCGUAAAGCUCUGUUGUAAGAGAAGAACGGGUGUGAGAGUGGAAAGUUCACACUGUGACGGUAUCUUACCAGAAAGGGACGGCUAACUACGUG